rnacentral:rRNA from 1 species
CACAGCAUUUAUGCUCCCCCUCACUUUACCUGUCGGAUCUUAGAAGCUAAGCAGGGGCAGGACUGAUUAAUACUUGGAUGAGAGACUAUCUGGAAAAGCAGGAGNUGGUAUAG